GCCCGCUCGCCGGAAGACCAAGGGUUCCUGUCCAACGUUAAUCGGGGCAGGGUGAGUCGACCCCUAAGGUGAGGCCGAAAAGCGUAGUCGAUGGGAAACAGGUUAAUAUUCCUGUACUUGGUGUUACUGCGAAGGGGGGACGGAGAAGGCUAGGCUAGCCGGGCGACGGUUGUCCCGGUUUAAGCGUGUAGGGGGUGUGACCUGGUAAAUCCGGUUGCAUAUCAACCCUGAGGCGUGAUGACGAUGCACUACGGUGCAGAAGUAGUUGAUGCCCUGCUUCCAGGAAAAUCCUCUAAGCUCCAGGUA
rnacentral:rRNA from 1 species